rnacentral:sRNA from 1 species
AAUUUUUAUUGUGAGAUCGUGAGUAUGAAAAUAACAACAAUUACUUGUUUGUGUAUUAAAUUGCACGGUUUUAUUACUUCGUGUAUUUACUUUCCAACCAAAAACAAUUGGGUAUUAAACGUCCAAAUAAAAAUUAGUUGAAGUUUUUUUUGGGUUUUUU